rnacentral:lncRNA from 1 species
AGACAUCUGGACCACUAGCUGCAUGAAGGAGCUACCCGCUGUGGGUCUCCUCUUUGCUGACAGCUGGACACUUGACAGAAUGACCUGCCUGAACUCGGGACCUGCUGAAUGAUGGGACUGAAGAAGCUGUAACACAAACAGGGCUAAAACACGCACUCUUCCCCCGGCUCCCCACCGCCCCACCCACUUGCCACAUUGCAGGUGAUGAGAAGGAGAGAAGAGCUGUGGCCUUUCAGAGAGCAUAGUCCCAGGGGCUCCCUGAGCCAGGGCUGUGAAACCCUCUUCUGGGCACUGCAGUUCCUGGUAUCUCCAAGCUUCUGAGUGCCACCGCUUUCCCCGCGUCCGGAAGCAGGUCGAUGCACGGAAAGAAAUCUCUCUCCUCACUUUAGGACAAUGGCAUAAUUGGUGGCCAUAGUACAAGGAUGGUUGCUGGGGCACCAUGAGAUUUCUGACAAAAGGCAUUAAAACUGAGAAAGUUUGGGAAUCUCUGAAUGCGGUAGAAUAAUGGCCUCCAGCUCCACCCAAGUUGCUGCAAGAGACUUUAUUUCAUUCCUUUUAA